rnacentral:lncRNA from 1 species
AUCACACAACUAUGAAAGAAGGUAACACAUAGUAAGACUACUUCCAAGAGAGGUAAGUAGCAUCAGAGGCAUGCAAUAGCAGGAAUAAACACAUAUAGCCUCACAGAGCAGAUAGAGAGAAAUAAACUCUCAUAGUGGAUUCAAAGAUAGGAGAAAUAAACUCCUAUAAUCAGAGUACAUCCUUUCAACAAAAGAUCACCAGGGAAAAAUAAAUUCCCACAAACAUAGAACUAGGAAAAAUAAGUUCCCAGCCACCAGAGAAUAAAGCCAAGAUGUCUCAGCAUCUGGCAUCACACUUGUCACUUAUUCAUACUACCACUCCCCCUGAAUUUGUGC